GAUGAACGCUGGCGGCGUGCCUAAUACAUGCAAGUCGAGCGAAUGGAUUAAGAGCUUGCUCUUAUGAAGUUAGCGGCGGACGGGUGAGUAACACGUGGGUAACCUGCCCAUAAGACUGGGAUAACUCCGGGAAACCGGGGCUAAUACCGGAUAAUAUUUUGAACUGCAUGGUUCAAAAUUGACAGGCGGCUUCGGCUGUCACUUAUGGAUGGACCCGCGUCGCAUUAGCUAGCUGGUGAGGUAACGGCUCACCAAGGCAACGAUGCGUAGCCGACCUGAGAGGGUGAGCGGCCACACUGGGAGUGAGACACGGCCCAGACUCCUACGGGAGGCAGCAGUAGGGAAUCUUCCGCAAUGGACGAAAGUCUGACGGAGCAACGCCGCGUGAGUGAUGAAGGCUUUCGGGUCGUAAAACUCUGUUGUUAGGGAAGAACAAGUGCUAGUUGAAUAAGCUGGCACCUUGACGGUACCUAACCAGAAAGCCACGGCUAACUACGUGCCAGCAGCCGCAGUAA
rnacentral:rRNA from 1 species